UAAUACUUGACGUGCUGUAGAAAGUCGAAGACGGUCGGCUUGGACAAGCCAAAAAUGGACGGGACUGGUAAUCAUAUAAAUGCGGAUAGCACCGAAGGAAGAUCUGACGCGAAAAAUCUCGUUGAUCGUGAGAGGCUGAUUUCGCUGGUAUAACCAUAGCCAUAUGCAGUGGUGCAUUUAAGGGGCACGACAGGGGAAAUCGCCCCCCCCCCCGAGAUAUAUUUGUUAAACUUAUAAGCGUUUCUUAAUUUUUUUUUUUUGUUUUUUUCAUAGGAAAUGUUCGUUUUGUUUUUUGAAGAUAUUCGUGUUCAUAACAGAUAUCAUUAUUAUGAUCACGGUCCACGGGUGAUAAUAUCACCUGCAUUUUUCAGCUUCUCCGCACUUAAAAAGGUUUGAAUAAUUAAAUGCAUGUGUUAAGUAACAAUCGUAAAAAUAAUAAAUAAUGGACCAAUGAUUCAAGUUAUGUCAAAACUUCGAAAUCGGAUAAGACAAGAAACAUUGGAAUAUUGCGUGAAAAUAAAUAACGAAGGUGAAGAAACCCGCCUCAAGAGUUCAGAUGUAAAACGAAUUGGUUGCAUAUGCAUUAGGUCCAU